GAUCAUGAACUCUAAUGUGUGUGACCUCAUAGGUCCGAACCUAAGCCAGUAGCAUAGGAAUAAAUUCCUAUACCAAUCGAAGUGACCAUCUAGCAAUGGUACCCGACGACCGGAUAGGUCGAAUGUGUAGAACAACAUCCUUAGAACCCAUGCGGAUAUAGUUUUCAUAUAAUUCAUCCCCUUGACCAAAAUGAUCAUAGGAUAUCCCAGAGUUCAACUGUCAACU
rnacentral:lncRNA from 1 species